GGGCCGGUCGCAGCAGCACAGACAUGCCGUGAGUGCCCAGAGGGGCACCAACAGAACGGGGCUCACUCUCC
rnacentral:RNase_MRP_RNA from 14 species